rnacentral:rRNA from 1 species
GAGGCAGCAGUGGGGAAUCUUGGACAAUGGGGGCAACCCUGAUCCAGCCAUGCCGCGUGAGUGAAGAAGGCCUUAGGGUUGUAAAGCUCUUUCAACGGUGAAGAUGAUGACAGUAGCCGUAGAAGAAGCUCCGGCUAACUCCGUGCCAGCAGCCGCGGUAAUACGGAGGGGGCAAGCGUUGUUCGGAAUUACUGGGCGUAAAGGGCGUGUAGGCGGCUUUGCAAGUCAGAGGUGAAAGGCCUGGGCUCAACCUGGGAACUGCCUUUGAAACUGCGGAGCUUGAGACCGGAAGAGGAUGGCGGAAUUCCCAGUGUAGAGGUGAAAUUCGUAGAUAUUGGGAAGAACACCAGUGGCGAAGGCGGCCAUCUGGUCCGGUUCUGACGCUGAGGCGCGAAAGCGUGGGGAGCAAACAGGAUUAGAUACCCUGGUAGUCCACGCCGUAAACGAUGUGUGCUAGCCGUCGGGAGACUUAGUCUUUCGGUGGCGCAGCUAACGCGAUAAGCACACCGCCGGGGGAGUACGGCCGCAAGGUUAAAACUCAAAGGAAUUG